UUUGUGACACUGUUUUCACAUUUGAUGAUUCCAAUAGAAGUAAAAGUAAAACCUAAACCACGUGACAUUGUUGACCUCUGUUCUGUCUAAUCUUAAUUUUACAGACUGGGAUUUGUCUCCAUCAGGUAUUUUAAUGCCGUUUUUUCACAUCAGCUUCUUCACAUAUGCCCAGAUGUUCAUCAUGCGCGUGCAUGUAAGAACCACCUAAACUAAGCUGCAUAGCAACUGCAGCCUUCGCUCUGCUUCUGCUCUCUGCUCCUCCUGGACUGACUCUGAGCCAAUCGCGUCAGCCGCUCCGCGUGACGUCUGAUUUGUUGACACAUCCAUUAGCUCGCUACCUGGCUGACGUCACUGCAGCAGGUGGGGGUGGCGGGGACGAACCAGCGCAAAGGAGCAGGCGUAGAGCACCUAAAUUAACAGACAUAUCACUCUGACCUGUUUCUGUGUGCUGUUAGACAGGACUCCAGCAGCUGCUGAUGAUACAGAGUACAGAGUUGCAAAGAAGCACGAACCCUACGGUGAUGGGCGGAGAACAGAGUCAGGAGCAGGCGGCUGAGGAGAGAGGAGACGAGGCUGGAGGUCCAACCGGGUCCAGUUCCACCGGCUCAGAGUCUCCUCAAGACGUGGCUGGAGAGCUGCCCCAGUGCAGGAUGGGAGACAGGACGGUGGACAACAUGUGCUUCAUGAUCUCAUGCACCAACUGGUACUGAACUGGAGCUGAGACCACAAUAGCAGAGGCUGAGGUAGCGGCUGAGAGAAACGUGCAAAUUGAAAGAGAAAAAUGGAGGAAGCGAUUCCAAUAAAGAGUAGAAGCACUAAAACA
rnacentral:lncRNA from 1 species